GAUGAACGCUGGCGGCGUGCCUAAUACAUGCAAGUCGAGCGAACGGACGAGAAGCUUGCUUUUCUGAUGUUAGCGGCGGACGGGUGAGUAACACGUGGAUAACCUACCUAUAAGACUGGGAUAACUUCGGGAAACCGGAGCUAAUACCGGAUAAUAUUUUGAACCGCAUGGUUCAAAAGUGAAAGACGGUCUUGCUGUCACUUAUAGAUGGAUCCGCGCUGCAUUAGCUAGUUGGUAAGGUAACGGCUUACCAAGGCAACGAUGCAUAGCCGACCUGAGAGGGUGAUCGGCCACACUGGAACUGAGACACGGUCCAGACUCCUACGGGAGGCAGCAGUAGGGAAUCUUCCGCAAUGGGCGAAAGCCUGACGGAGCAACGCCGCGUGAGUGAAGAAGGUCUUCGGAUCGUAAAACUCUGUUAUUAGGGAAGAACAUAUGUGUAAGUAACUGUGCACAUCUUGACGGUACCUAAUCAGAAAGCCACGGCUAACUACGUG
rnacentral:rRNA from 1 species